CAGUAGCCGCGGUAAUACAGAGGGUGCGAGCGUUAAUCGGAUUUACUGGGCGUAAAGCGUGCGUAGGCGGCUUUUUAAGUCGGAUGUGAAAUCCCUGAGCUUAACUUGGGAAUUGCAUUCGAUACUGGUUAGCUAGAGUGUGGGAGAGGAUGGUAGAAUUCCAGGUGUAGCGGUGAAAUGCGUAGAGAUCUGGAGGAAUACCGAUGGCGAAGGCAGCCAUCUGGCCUAACACUGACGCUGAGGUACGAAAGCAUGGGGAGCAAACAGGAUUAGAUACCCCUGUAGUCCCUGUCUCUUAUAC
rnacentral:rRNA from 1 species